rnacentral:rRNA from 1 species
ACGCGCGUAGCUGAUCAGCAUGCCGCGUGAGUGAUGAAGGCCUUAGGGUUGUAAAGCUCUUUUACCCGGGAUGAUAAUGACAGUACCGGGAGAAUAAGCUCCGGCUAACUCCGUGCCAGCAGCCGCGGUAAUACGGAGGGAGCUAGCGUUGUUCGGAAUUACUGGGCGUAAAGCGCACGUAGGCGGCUUUGUAAGUUAGAGGUGAAAGCCUGGAGCUCAACUCCAGAACUGCCUUUAAGACUGCAUCGCUUGAAUCCAGGAGAGGUGAGUGGAAUUCCGAGUGUAGAGGUGAAAUUCGUAGAUAUUCGGAAGAACACCAGUGGCGAAGGCGGCUCACUGGACUGGUAUUGACGCUGAGGUGCG